GGAAGGAUCAUUAACAAAUACCCUUUAUAAAACCAAACCGCGAACUGUUUUGUCCACAGAUUGAAGAGAGCAUGGUCUUAAGAACUAUGGCAGUGAGCUCUUCGGAGUCGUUCUUAGGAUUUCUUCCUUCGGGAAGGUAGCUCUUUAGUCUUGUGUCGCACUGUCGGGUCAUUCGCAAGAAUGGCCUGUUUUUACUAUUUUACCCCUUGUAACUAUUGUACUAAUCCCACUUUGUGGUUCUUAUGAAAAUAAGAAACCCUAAAAUACAACUCUUAGCAACGGAUAUCUUGGCUCUCGUAUCGAUGAAGAACGCAGCGAACUGCGAUACGUAAUGCGAAUUGCAGAAUUCAGUGAAUCAUCAAAUCUUUGAACGCAUCUUGCGCUCUUGGGAUAUGCCUGAGAGCAUGCCUUUCUGAGUGUCGUUUCAAACCCACCUCGACUUCUUGUCGGAAAAUGCGAGUCUUGCCCCAGUGCGAGCAAGUCUUGUUAAGUGCAGAGAGCUCACUGACUUCAGUACAACAUGAGGCUUUCGUCUCAUCUAGUGCUGAUGUAUGAUAUUUGACCUUUAUGGUCAUUCUUUGUACAUCUUGGCGCUAGGAGUGAUUGCUUGAUGUGAAGCUUAGUGAGUGAAUAAGGGUUAAAAGCCCAAUUUUCUUGAAUUUGACCUCAGAUGAAGCAGGAUUACCCGCCGAAUUUAAGCAUAUUAUUAAGCGGAGGAAAAGAAACUAACAAGGAUUCCCCUAGUAACGGCGAGUGAAGCGGGAAUAGCUCAACCUGUUAAUCGGUGUGCUUUCGUACAUCGAAUUGUGGGCUUGAGACUGGACGUCAGCGUGCGACCUGGGUAUAAAUCCUUUGGAAUAGGGUAUCAUAGAGGGUGAGAAUCCCGUCUUUGACUCAGAGUUCGCCGCGUACGACUCCAGCUCCUAGAGUCGAAUAGCUUGGGAAUGCUGUUCUAAGUAGGUGGUAAAUUUCAUCUAAAGCUAAAUAUCGACGAGAGACCGAUAGCGAACAAGUACCGCGAGGGAAAGAUGAAAAGAACUUUGAAAAGAGAGUUAAAAAGUACUUGAAAUUGCUAAGAGGGAAGCACUGGAAACCAGUAAUGCUUGGGUCUAUAUUUCCCGUUUGCUUGUGUAGAGUGGGUUGUCUGGAUCGCAAGACCGGGCGGCUUAUUUGAAGCAAGUAGGCGGUGUCUGUGGGCUUGAGUGAAUCAAGAUCAGUUAGGGCUGUGAGAGAAAGCGUGUAGGAAGGUAGAUGGCUGGCACUCUCGGGUGUCAGUCAGAACUUAUAGCCUGCAUGCCCUAUCAUGGUUUUGACUGAGGCUUUCAACCUGCGCCUUCGGCAGCUUCUACUGAUCCCUGCUGUCUGGCUGGCUUGGGAGAACAAAGUUCUGUCGGCUAGUUCAGGUGGUACUGGGUUGGAUAGAGGACUUGCAGGUUCGAGAUCUUGAUGAAAUGGUUUUCAUUGACCCGUCUUGAAACACGGACCAAGGAGUCUAACAUAUAUGCGAGUAUUUGGGUGAGAAACCCUGAUGCGUAAUGAAAGUGAAGGACAACUUUGUUGUCUUAGGGAGGAAUCGUCGUAAGGCGAGGCACUCUCGACCGAUCUAUGGUUUACCAAAGAUUUGAGUAAGAGCAUAUCUGUUGGGACCCGAAAGAUGGUGAACUAUGCCUGUGCAGGGCGAGGCCAGGGGAAACUCUGGUGGAGGCUCGUAGCGAUACUGACGUGCAAAUCGUUCGUCUGACAUGGGUAUAGGGGCGAAAGACUAAUCGAACCAUUUAGUAGCUGGUUCCCUC
rnacentral:misc_RNA from 1 species